rnacentral:lncRNA from 1 species
UGUUAUUUACAUUUCAUGCAGAUUCACGGUCGGAUUUACGUUGUUCCAAGACCUCCGGUUUUGUGCAUCAACAUUUGGCGCCGUCUGUGGGAAUCGACACGAAAAGUUAUGUCGGUUCUCUUUCAUUUUUUUCACCUCCACCGUGAAUCUGCAAAAUCUGUAAAAACCCAAGAACCCAAAACUUUCCUAAAAAACCCAGAAACAGAAAAAGAUCCAAAUUCUAAACUACUAAAUAAACUCCCCAAUCCCACCCUCUAUGUGUCCGAUGUCCCAAUCGAACAUGUCAUCAAACGCCCAAUAUUGCGGUUUGAUCUGUCCGGUGUCAUCUCAUCUGUCACUUCCAAAUCAGUUUCCUGGUGGAAUCCCAUCUGUUGGAAGGAAUAUUCUUGGUUUACAGCUAGAGCCAUGGCGUCGAGUUCUCCGAGCCCUCGUUGUUAUAAAACUCUUGGCCGCAUACGAUCGAGCACCUUAGAAAAGAAGCUCUGCAGCUUGUUUGUUCAUUUGGUUCUUCAAGAAGCCCAGGAAACGCAGUAGGCAGAGAGAAGCUUGGAAAACGCCAUGGCUUCCUCCCAGAAACUUAUCAGACGAGAUCCAAAAAGCCGUCUAAGCAGUUGUCACCUCUCUCGCGCUCCCUCCCUUUCGUCCAAAAGUACACACUCUCUUUCUCUCCCUCAAUCUCUUAUCUCUAUAACAUAUAUAUAUAUAUAUAUAUAUAUAUAUCUCUCUCCCAACACACCAUGACCGAACUCGUCUCCUCCACCUGAUCGAAAGAAAUCAACUCGAUUCGUGUUCGGCAAUCAGAUCAUCAAUUUUAACAAGAUUCUAUCUUUUAUAAAACCCAGGAAAACAAAACCCACAUACUACUAUUCCCAUGUUGUUCAUUGAGCAAUUGCUGACUUAGGCACCUCCCUAUUGGCUGAACCAAUGACAUGAGAUUUCACCCUGGAGGUAUGUACACGUUUUAGUCUGCUCAUGUUCAAAUGUUAGGUGGAGUGAGCUGUGUCAUUCCAAGUGUGUAUUGCUAACAGCUCAUCAGCCAUAAAUAAAAUAUGUAAGCAUUACUCAUGAAAAAGAAAAAAAAAGGAUUCCCUAGGACACAGAUGAGAAACGGCUCAAGGAAUAUUUCAGGAAGUAUGGAGAGAUGGUGGAGGCUGUGAUCAUGAGGGAUCGUGCAAAGGCGGAGAUAAGAUUAAUGUACUUAUCAUUCCUUGUAUGCCAUCUGCAAAAGAGAAAAGAAGACAUAAACAAAGCAAAAGUAAAGCAGAAAAGGAAAAGAGAAAAGAAGAAGAGUGGCACAUGGAGACACUGCAAAAGUAAGGAAUAAACACUCCACCAGAAUGAUGUAAUUUAUUUUAUCUUUCGGAAAUAUCUGUAUAAACCCCAUCAGAGGGUAAAAAAAAAAAAAAAAAAAACGGCAAAGCCCAAAAUAAAUGGGCUAGCAUGUUGUGGAGAGCGAAGGCCCAUAAGCCCAAAAUAGCACCAACCAGGUCACCAAAAGUACGCCCAGUACUCCACAAUUAUUUGGCAACCCGCCACUAUUACCACCAACCAGGUGACCAAAAGUACGCCCAAUACUCCAAAAUUAUUCGGCAACCCGCCCUUAUUACCACCAACCAAGUGAUGAAAUGUACAACUUGUACUCUAAUUUGGCAACUAGCCAUUCAUGCCACCAACCAGGUGAUGAAAUGUACAACCCGUACUCUCCUUCAUGCCACCAACCAGGUGAUCAAAAGUACGCCUAGUACUCCAAAUUAUACAUGAGCAUUACUCAUGUCAUUCAUACAUAAACAUUCUUGAGCAUCACUCAUGACAAUCAUACAUAAACAUUCAUGACUAUCAUUUAUGUCAACAUUUAUGAGCAUCACUCAUGUUAACAUUCAUGAGCAUCACUCAUGACAACAUCCAUGAGCAUCACUCAUGUUAACAUUCAUGAGCAUCACUCAUGACAACAUCCAUGAGCAUCACUCAUGUCAAUCAACAUAAACAUUCAUGAGAAUCACUCAUGUCAAUCAACUUCAAAAGCUUCAUUUACAGAGCUCUAGCUUCAAAAGCUUGAUUUACAAUAGCUCUAGCUUCAAAAGCUUCAUUUACAGAGCUCCAGCUUCAAAGCUUCAUUUGCAAAGCUUCACCUACAAAGCUUCAGUGCAAGGUAUACAAAUACCGCCUCCGAACAACCGCUACUUCGGCCCACACAUGAAUUCAAGAAGUCCCCAGCCAAAAGACUCUAUUGACCGAAGACUUAGGGACUACAGUAUGUACCAUAUAUUGGGCCUCAACUGGGCCUCAUGAAAAAUACUUGGGGGACUCUAGCCCAUUAUUUAUGUAUUAAGGAGUGAGCCCUUAUUUUAUAAAAGGGACUCCCUCACCAUCAUUAGAGCAACAUCAACUCUAGCCCAUUAUUCAUGUACUGAGGAGCGAUCCCUUAUUUUAUAAAAGGGACUCCCUCACCUUCAUUAGAGAGCAAACGCCGCUAGCUGAGCAACCGCCUCGCUAUGAGCAUCGACUCUAGCCCAUCAUUUAUGUAUUGAGGAGCGAGCCCUUAUUCUAUAAAAGGGACUCCCUCGCCAUCAUUAGAGAGCAUCGCCGAGCAACCACCUCGCUACGAGCAUCAACUCUAGCCCAUCAUUUAUGUAUUGAGGAGCGAGCCCUUAUUCUAUAAAAGGGACUCCCUCACCAUCAUUAGAGAGCAUCGCCGAGCAACCGCCUCGUUACGAGCAUCGACUCUAGCCUAUCAUUUCUAUAUUGAGGAGCGAGCCCUUAUUAUAUAAAAGGGACUCCCUCACUUCAACGCCACAGGCCAAACCAAUCAAGGCAACAUAAGCCACAAGCCAAGCAGUCUCGCAACGUGUGCAACUUCUAGAUGAGCAUCAUUUCACUUUGAGCGCCGCCUCAUAACGGGCAUCAGUUCAAGACAACAUCUAGUUACUUUGGCCCACACAUGGACUGAAUUUCAAGUCUCUAGCCAAAAGACUCUUUUGACUGAAGACUUGGGGGACUACUGUUUAUACCAUAUUUAGGGCCUCGUAUUUAGACCUCGUAUAAAUACUCGGGGUACUUAAAUGUAAUUAAGUAAUAAAGGAAGGGGCAAAUAUGUAAUAAGUGAGGAAUCCUUAUUCUAUAAAAGGACCUCUCACCCUCACAAUUUGGGGAGGCAAACUCUUAGGCCUGAAACCCUCUCACAUCUCUUCUCAUUACAGAGGUUCUCUCACUUACCUCUCAGAUAAAUACAUAAUCAGUAUGGAUGUAGCCCAAACCUUGGGGGUGAACCACGAUACAUCCUGUGUUAUUUACAUUUCAUGCAGAUUCACGAUCGGAUUUACGUUGUUCCAAGACCUCCGGUUUUAUGCAUCAACAUAGGCGUUGAGCCAUAUUAGACACAGAACCUGCACACUGAACACUAAGAGCCAGAGAAUCCUUAACAACCAACUCAUCAAACCGUUUGGAAAGUAGUCUGUUAUCUUUGGGAGUGAGAAGAUUCCUGGCCACCACCGCAGCGGUCAUAUCAUUCUUCAUCACAGAGGCCCCAACGGUAAGAUGACCAGUAGGGGAUAAGAAGGAUGUGCGCCAUAUGUUGUCUUGAGAAGGCAUGGCUUCCUUUUCACCAAAGUUCAAGUCAAAACGCGGUUGGAUGGACCAGACAUUCUCAGAAAUGAUGAAAAAGAAAUGAGGUGCAAUAAAUCUCUAAAGUACAAAAAUAAGGGGAAAAUUCCUGCAAGCAAUAACUCUCUGAACUUGCUUCUUGCACACAAUUGGUGCCCCUAUAAAAGAAAGGGCAACAAGGCCGUUGGUUCAAAAAUCGAAGAGGCACCACUCUCCGGAUUUCGAGAAGCAGAUUUUACUGAGUAAAAUAUGUUGACAAUCCCCACAUGCAACAUCAGCUCUUCAGGUACCACAUAUAACUUUGCCAAAGAUCUCUGUCAAAGUUUAGACACAUAAAUUUUAAAGGUCCAGCUACCCUACCAUUACCCACAAGGGUAAAGGAACAGCAACACUACUUGAUAACUGGAAAGUUCCUAUGUGUGCCAACCUCCGUGCUCAGUGGCAAGGCAGACUGGCAAAAAUGCCCAACCUUUACUCACAUUAAGAAAACACUCCCAACAGGAUUACUUGUUCAAAAAUCGAAGAAGCACCGCUCCUCGAAUCUCAAGAGCCAAGCUCCCACUAGGAUGGCUUUCUCAAAAAUCGAAGAGGCAUCGCUAUUCGACUCUUGAGAACCAGACUCACAACAUGAUUGCUUUCUCAAAAAUCGAAGAGGCACCGCUCUCCAUAUCUUGAGAGCCUGACUCCCAACAUGAUUGCUUUCUCAAAAAUCGAGGAGGCACCGCUCUUUGAAUCUCGAAAGCCAGACUCCCAACAGGAUUGCUUUCUCAAAAAUUGAAGAGGCACCAUUCUCCGAAUCUCGAGAACCAGGUCCCCGACAGGAUUGCAUGUUUGAAAACGAAAGAAGCACCGCUCUCUGAACUUCGAGAGCCAAAUUUCCUUGGAUAAAGCUUAUCUGCAAUCUUCACACGCAACAUUAGCUUUCCAGAUACUACAGACUACUUUUUCAAAGUGCUCUGACAAAGUUAAAACACGUGAAUCUUGCAGCUCCCACUACAUUGCUAUGACUUACUACUCGCUGUUAGGAUAAUUCCUAUAUAUCUCGACCUCCAUCCUCUACAGCCAAGCAUACAUGCAAAUAAAAAAAACAUGCUCAACUUUUAUUCACAUCCGAGAGGGCGCUCCCAGCAGAGUCUCUCGAAAUACUCAACUUCUUUCCCCCCUCCCCCGAUAAUACUUAUGCAAACAAGCCACAAUAGAGCAAGAGUAUCUCAUAUCAUCAGGGUUAAAAGCAAGAGUAUCCUAUAUCAUGCUUUUUCUUUGUCUUUUCCUUUGCCCUUGAUCUUACCUGCAGGACAAGGAGAAAAAACGCAAUCAGUCGGAACCUGAAAUCAAACUUCCGAUAUGGAACUGAUUUCCCGAAAUCUUUGCAUGGUUGUUUUCCUAACAUUGCUCUUGAGUACUCAUCCUCAACUGUUGUCAAGGUCACGAAGUCCUUCUACAAAUACCUCAGAACAGUUGAUACGAUAUUGAUGCUUUACUCUGAAGCUGCCACACGUGGAUGAGUUGCUGAGAAGUAGUGCUAUGAAGGACCAUUUAAAUGCAAAGGUUGCAUUCCACACCUGCAUUGGGGACAAAUGCUGUAAGAGAUUGAAGCAGAAGGAUUAAUGAUGAGCUAGAACAGAUCACUACAGCACGAUGCCUUUCCUGUAGAACCACACAACCCAGACAAAUGAGUCUAAAUCAAAUCCAAACCCAGCAUCGCUGCCAUAUCCGAAGAACUCGAGAAGCUUCAACAACCUUUCGCUGACACCAUCGCCAAAGAGCAAAGCUUCGCCAUACCACACCCACUACUUUGUCGACAUCAAUAGUAUCCCAUAUUAUUAGGUUGAACGUACUCUAGAUUUGAUGGACUUGUUUUGACCCUUGAAUUCUUGAGUCGGCCUUAUACUCUUGAGGAAACCAGAAAACCUUCCAACCCAGUUCAAGAAUAAGCUUGUGGAAAGUUACUUCUUCAAAAGCAAAAGUAUCUCAUAUCAUCUCUUCUCCAUUUGCUUCUCAUUAUCCUUGUUGCUGUUUACGACAUAAGGAGAAUGAGAACAAUCAACCGGAAGCUGAAGUCGAACCUCCGAUCUAGGUUGCUUGCUUGGAAGUCUGAUUGCUUACCUUGUCUGUUACCUCCUUCGGUAAAUCUCCUAGCUCGGCGAUUUGGGGGACUCCUACUAUAGGGUUUGUAUCGCACUAAACCAAGCCCGAAACUACAAGUAAGCUUCAAGUGAAAUUGAUACAUUACCUUGUGCAUCUUCAUCGGUUAAAGAUACCACCCCUGGAUGGAGGAAAAGUACUUCUAGAGAAGAUGCCACAUCUACAUAUGAGACAGAUAAGGCAAGUGAAAAUGAUACCACACUUCGGUACUUAGAAGUUUCAUGAUUACUCAAUGGCUUGGAUCUUGUAAGUCCCCAACCAUGGAGUUUUCUUCACUCGGGAACUUAUGGGAGCACUGUUUGUACCAUACUUGACCAAUCCCGAAACUACAGAGCACCGGUCAACGUUAUAUCGUCAAGGACCCAGAAGAGUUUCCCUCAAAUCAGGAGGCCAAUCACAGCGCGACACGUAUCGACAUUAGAAGCCAAUCAUAGUGCGACCCGUGUCAACAUCAGAAGCCAAUAACAACACGACACGUGUCAAUGUCAGAAUGAAACUAGAAACUCUCUUCUAUAAAUAGAGAUCACUCUCUCACAGUAUUUCCUAAUGUUAUUUGUACUAAAUCAUUCACUAAUACUCACAAAAUGAGAGCUUGAACCUAUGUACUUGUGUAAACCUUUCACAAUUAGUGAGAACUCCUCUACUCCAUGGACGUAGCCAAUUUGGGUGAACCACGUACAUCUUGUGUUUGCUUCCCUGUCUCUAUCCAUUUACAUACUUAUCCAUACUAGUGACCGGAGUAAUAUAGUGAAGGUCACAAACUUAAUACUUUCUGUUGUACCAAAGUCCUCACUGAUUUUGUGCAUCAGCAAAAUAUAUAUGUGGAAACUAAAUAAGUAUAUAACAUUUAAAAGCAAAGACCCACUCACAAAUCAUGUUGUCGGAUCGAACCUACCUUGUGGGCAUCAAAGAUCAUUGCAAUGCGUUUCACCUAGAAACGAAACCAUUCACAUAAAUAUAUUACGUACUAACGUAAAUACGAGUUUUUGUACAAAGUAAGGUUAAUAAAGGAACUAUUUUAAAACAACCAAAUUUUGAAAAACGGAAGGUGGAUUCAGGUUCAGCACAUUGAGAAAUCUAAGGAUGGACCUUGGGUUCUUCUACGCACCGCCACAAGCGCCGCCACGCACUGCCACAAAGUGGCUGCACAGACAUCCACGUGCUGCACGCGCUGCUCACCACGCGCACCUCACACGCCCCUGAGUACAAUAGUACUCAUUUUUCUCAUGAGUUCCCAGAUUUUCAUGUUUUUCCUUCAACUUUCAAAGCUCAUUUCGAGAUUGAUACCCAACCAAAAUCGAUGAUUCAAAGAUUAAAUUGAAGUUAGAAAUGUAGGGAAUAAGUCUAUACUCAGUUGAGGUCGUUUCAUGGUCGAAGUUGGUCGAAAAAGGGGUUUGAAAGCGGCUCAAUGGCCACGGUUCUGAGUUUCCAAAAAUCUGGGGAAAUCUCCCCGCGAUGUUUUAUGUACCAAAUCUCAUCAAAACACUCAUAAGAACUCAAAUAUUUACUCAUAACAUCACAAGGAAUUAGUUUAAGAUCGUUGAAGCCUUACCUUUACCGUAAAAGCGAGUUUCUAGCCCAAAAACUCAGAUUUUAAACAGAGCUUCAUGUGAGCUGCUGUGCAUGAUUUCAGUAACCUAAAGCUUAGGUUACAUUUGUAGGGGUGAGAGGAAGAUGGUUUAGGUUAUGAGGCUCGCCAGAAUGGUUGUGGUCGUAAAUGGCUGUCAGUGAUGGUGGCUUGAUAACUUAUUGGGGUGGUAUGGUGAUGAUGGGCCAAUGUUGCUGCAUCUUCUGUGCAGCAAGCAUAUAGCAGAGAGAGAGAAAACGAGAUGAGAGGCUCACCUGGUUCGUUGUGGCUUGUCAGGGAGAGUGGCGGGUGGUGAUGGCGUUAGUGGUUUCUCUGCACUUCCAGAGAGAGAAAGAGACGAGAAGGAGUUGAGAUGGAGAGUGAAAUGAGAGGGUUAGGUGAGAGAAAAAUGAGGGUGACUGAAUAAGAGGGAAACAUGGAGGGAGGCAGAUUCUUUGCCCUCCCACUUCUCGUGCCCUCCCGUGCCCUCUUGUUUUGUGUGGUCACGGUUAAGCCACGUCAACAUUUUAUAUAUUUUUUUUAUAGAGAUAAUAAGACAAAAAAGAAUAGUAAUACAAAAUGUUGACGUGGCUUAACCGUGACUACACAAACAAGAGGGCACGGGAAGUGGGAGGGCAGAGAAUCUGCCUCCAACAUGAAGAGGACACGGGAGAGAGGGAAAUAGUGGGAUAUGGGCCCCACUGACUCACAAAAUAAGGCCACGAAUAGGAAGAUAGAAAAUAUCUCUCGCGUAACGUGAAUAUACCAAAUUACCCUUCAUGUUCCUAGUUUCGUAAAAUUUUCAUUAUAACUCCGAAUUUGAUUCCGUUUAUGCUUACGCAUUCGUACCGUCAAGUACUUCGACAAUACGGUAAAAUAAUAACUCAUACGCGUCAUGAAAUGACGGUCAACGAAAGUCAACAAUCUCACCUCUAGGGGCAUUCUCGUCAAUUCACACAUUUAAAAUUAAUACAACAGUAAAAUUGGGGGUGAGUUUUUACAUAUUAAGUCCUUUGCCUUUGUCCAAGUUUAUCAAACUUGUACCUACGAAUCUAUAUCUUAGCUUAAAUAAGCAUUUCCUAACAUUUCAUUAAUUCAACAUCCAAAAGUACUAUUUAGACAUUUAUGAGGGUGUAUUCAAUUGGGAAUUUGAGAGAUUUUAAUGGAUUUAUAAAUCCAUGGAUUUUUAUGGAGUUUAAAUGAUUUGUAGAGAUUCCAUGUAAAAUUUUGAUUCAAUUCCCUCAAAAUCUCAUGAGGAGAGGUGAGAUUUGUGAAGGAUUUAAUACACUACAAAAUCUCUCAAAUUCCUCAAUUUUUUCAAAUUCUUUAAAUUCUAAUUCUAAUUGAAUACACCUGGAAUGUUAUAAACUUCUUUAAAAUUCUAAUUAAAUACACCCAGAUUUCUAAGGAUUUUAAUAAACUAUCUUAAAAUCUUGAUUGAAUACACAUUGAAUUUCAGAGAAAUACUUGAAAUCCUGAUUGAAUACCCUUAGAUUUAUUAAAAGAAUUAAAAUCCCUCAAAAUCCGAAUUGAAUACACCCCCUUAAUUUGCACAAUGGAGGGCACCACAUGAGUCAGGGUGUCGAAAAACCUAAGGAUAGGUCUUGGGUUCUGCACGAGCGACCGUUCGUUAAUCACGCGCCGUCGUCCAUUGGUCACGCUCCCUCGUCCGUUUUUCAUGUGUUGUCACGCGUCGAUUGGGCUUUGGUAGCAUGCAGUUGUUGCCGACAAAUGCACUAUUGUACUCGCCACCGUGUUUCGGCGAGUAAAUGUCGUAGUCACCGGAGCCACGAGCCAGCCGUUGGAGAGUUCAUUGGAAAGUGAAGGAAUGUACCUCUUCCGUUCCGUUAAAGUUAACGGAUCCAUCGCUGUCGUUGUUAGAGUUAACGACGACUGCCGCCAAAAAUAGCAGAAAACCCAAAAAUUAAUUAACACUUUGAUUUCAUUCGAAAUUAAUAGAUUUUCAUCUCAAAUUCAUCCUAAAAUGAACAAAACGCUCACCUAAGUCCAAUCCAAGGAGAUUUGGACUGAGUUUGGCCUCAGACUCAACAGAACUUGGCCGAAGUCCGUCGCCAAAUUCUUGAAAUCAACACAGAGGCAUGCAAAGGUUAAACAAUCAUGAAUUUGAUCCAAAACUUCACAGAGAUGACGAAUGAACUUACCCAAACGUAACUCAGGUGGUUUAGGGAUGGAAAUCGCUUAGAACUCACUAGAUUCGACUAGUUUCCCUCAUAAAAAACUCGGCACGUAGGAGUCAAACAGAGUUUGAAAUUCUCAAAUUCCAUAUCAAAAUUCAUGCAGAAACUUCACAAACAUGAAUUAAAGCUUACAUCAGUUCCAACCAACGAAGAUUUAUAUCAAAAAUCAACUUGUAGUUGGACGAGGAACUCGGAGCUCAUGGGUUCGAAGGUUUGGCACCUUCCAGCGCUCAAGUCAUACAUGCAAGGCCACCAUCGGGUUCGUCACGUCAUGCUGAUUCCAAGUAUGGUGGUUAUGAGGUUCGAUUUGGCCGAAGUUGAUGAAGAUGAUGGUGGUUGGCUUCAGUGUUAGAGGAAGAGAGUGAGAAAAUUCGAGAGCUACAGAAAGAGGGAGAGUUGCAUAAAUGAGGGAGAAAGAGAGAGACGAAGUUGGUUAAUCCCACUUAAAAAGUUCCCUUAGUAGAAAUUACCAUUACCAUUUUGCCCUCCAUUUAACUAAAUUCGUAACUCGACUCUUGUAACUUCGAAUUCGAUCCCAUCUUCGUCCAACCAUUUUGCCCUCCAUUUAACUAAAUUCGUAACUCGACUCUUGUAACUUUGAAUUCGAUCCCAUCUUCGUUCACACACUCAUGAGUACGAAAACUAAUUUAAUAAAAUAAGAAAAAUAAGAAAAAUUGAAAUUUAACUCAAGGCUCUUUCAUUAUUCAAAACACCUAACUAGGGGCAUUUUGAUUAUUUCACAUCCUUUAGAAAUAAAAUACGCACAUUAUUUUAAGGUAUGGGUUGUAAGAUGGAAGGGAGCUAUGAAAAUAGGCUGCCCACAAAGUAGUGGGGGGAGAAAAGACGGUAAGCAUCACAUGUGAGGGAAAGAAUUAAAAAAGUGUAAAAAGAAAAGGAGCAAUAGAGGGGACAUGACGCGGAGGGGCUAGGAGAAAAGUACUAGUAAAUUUUGGUCAUUAAUGACACUGAGCCAAUUAACGACGAUUGCUCAUGAAACUGUCAUUUCGGUUUUUCUUACGACGGAUUAGGCUUAAAACUGUCGUUCAAUGAGGUGCAAAAGAGGUGGGAUAUAGAUUACGUGCUUAUAGUUUUGGUUUUCCAGGCGACAGUUUUAUGUGCAUUGUCGUAUGCUGAUAUGUGGCAAAGGCCAAAAGUUGAAAAACACGGAGGGACUCCAUGUACUGUUCACAAUCAAAAUGAGCUUUCCUUUCCAAUUUGUUUUAUGAUUAAAGUCUUUCUCUUCUUUUAUUUUAUUAGACGCAACCAAAAGUCUCCAAUCUAGCAAAUUUCAAACCAGACCCUGAAAACCAAAUCUCACCCUCUUGAUUCUAUUCCUGAAGAUCCCCAAACUAUGAAUGCUACUUUUUCCCAAAAUCUCUCCCUUGGGCCUUUUGCUUUACGAUAUCCCUCCCAUAGAAAACCCUAGCACCCUCAAAUCCUUCUUUUGUCCUUGCGAUUCUGGGGUUUAUACCGACUACCAACAACAACAACAACAACAACAACAAAGCCUUUUCCCACUAAGUGGGGUCGGCUAUAUGAAUCCUAGAACGCCAUUGCGCUCGGUUUUGUGUCAUGUCCUCCGUUAGAUCCAAGUACUCAAGUCUUUUCUUAGGGUCUCUUCCAAAGUUUUCCUAGGUCUUCCUCUACCCCUUCGGCCCUGAACCUCUGUCCCGUAGUCACAUUUUCAAACCAGAGCGUCAGUAGGCCUUCUUUGCACAUAUCCAAACCACCGGAACCGAUUUUCUCUCAUAUUUCCUUCAAUUUUGGCUACUCCUACUUUACCUCGGAUAACCUCAUUCCCAAUCUUAUCCUUUCUCGUGUGCCCAUACAUCCCACGAAGCAUCCUCAACUCCGCUACACCCAUUUUGUGUACGUUGAUGCUUCACUGCCCAACAUUCUGUGCCAUACAACAUCGCUGGUCUUAUUGCCGUCCUAUAAAAUUUUUCCUUGAACUUCAGUGGCCUACGACGGUCACACAACACGCCGGAUGCACUCUUACACUUCAUCCAUCCAGCUUGUAUUCUAUGGUUGAGAUCUCCAUCUAAUUCUCCGUUCUCUUGCAAGAUAGAUCCUAGGUAGCGAAAACGGUCACUUUUUGUGAUCUUCGCUAGAUUGCUCCGGUCAUUAGUGUGGAUAAGUAUAUAAAUGGAUAGAGAUAGGAAAGCAAACACAAGAUGUACGUGGUUCACCCAGAUUGGCUACGUCCACGGAAUAGAGGAGUUCUCAUUAAUUGUGAAGGGUUUACACAAAAGCAAACACAAGAUGUACGUGGUUCACCCAGAUUGGCUACGUCCACGGAAUAGAGGAGUUCUCAUUAAUUGUGAAGGGUUUACACAAGUACAUAGGUUCAAGCUCUCCUUUAGUGAGUACAAGUGAAUGAUUUAGUACAAAUGACAUUAGGAAAUAUUGUGGGAGAAUGAUCUCGUAGCCACGAAACUUCUAAGUACCGGAGUGUGGUAUCGUCUUGACUUGCCUUAUCUGUCUCAUAGGUAGAUGUGGCAUCUUCUCUGGAAGUACUCUUCCUCCAUCCAGGGGUGGUAUCUGUAACUGGUGGAGAUGCACAAGGUAAUGUAUCAAUUUCACUUGAAGCUUACUUGUAGUUUCAUGCUUGGUCAAGCGCGAUACAAACCAUGUAGUAGGAGUCCCCCAAGUCGCCGAGCUAGGGGUUCCUAUAUUCCACGUUCCUAAACGCAUUUUGCUCUCUUGAACUCUACCCUUCUGUCCUAGCUUCUUCACCCUUCCCCGUCUAAUAGGAUCAAAGUACUUCUUUUGUGUGUCCCGUGUAAAGUUGAUAGGAGCAUAUGCUCCCAAACAACUUUGAGUGGAGUCGUUCGAAAAGAAGUUUCUAUAGCCCCCUUGCUCAUUUAACACUGCAUCCGGGUGCCGAUGGAGAUACAACGACCCUUGCUCACUUAUCACUGUGCUCAGGCCACACAGCGCGCCACUUACGGGUGACGCCCUAGCUUUAGCACGAUUUCGUUCUGGAUUCAUUUUCAUAAGGAUUCGACGUGAUCAUGGAGUGCCGGCUGUCGACUACCUGACGCCCUCCCCCUCCUCCUUUAUCCGGGCUUGGGACCAGCAAUGUAAGAUAAACUUACACGGCGGAGUUUUAUACCGACUACCAGGAGACAAAAUUUCUCUCAACCUCUCUCAUUUUGAGAAAUAUGCCAUGCUUUAGUCUGAGUGCAUGUAAGCAUUAUUUUUUUCACCACCAAGUAGGAUUCUACAAUCUACUAAAAACAUAAAGAAUUUAUGAGCAUGCCAAUAGAAAACCUUCUUGGUAAACAUUAAAGAAUUGGUUUUCUACAUGCAUCUCGAUUAUAUGACAGCACUUCUAAUAGUCUGAAAUUCUGAAUACAAUACAUAUGUUCGGGGCUCCAAUGGAAUUGACCAAAAGUUUUGGUGUUUGUGUUUUAGGAUUCUACCUUGAAUUAUGUAUUAUUUGUUGAAACUCAUAAAUGUGAACCGCUUUGGAAAAAUACAUCUUAUCUUUUGUUUGAUUAAAAAGAAUCACAUAUUGUUGAGGUCCUUUACAUAAUAGAUGAAGUAUUUUGAUUGGUCCUAAACAAAGUUCAUCAACAUCAUGUGUUUAUUAGGGUUUGCACGAGGUUGAUUUCUUGUCCCAAUAUCAUGACAUUCAUUACCUUCCAAGUAUAGCAAAUGAAAUAAUUAGAGGCAUGCAGCACCCAACUAUUGUGAAACUUAUAAUACAUGUUCGUGCGUAAAACAAAUGUUCGUUUUAUUGAUGUAGUUGGGUAAUACUUGCGAAUUGACAUCGGAUUCUCUUAUACAAUUGUUUGUGGUACUUAUAGUGUCCAAUAAAAUAAGUUUUUCGUCUUCUCCACAUGUAAGAGACUUUGGAAAUUCAUUUUUUUUUAAGUUGAAUGGAUGAUAGUUUUGUCACUUGAAUUGUCGUCUAGUAUCAGCUCAAUGACAAUAAGCUUUGAGAAUUAUUGAUAGAACAACACCCAAACGACAUUUUUCAUGUUAAAACUAUGGUCUAUUAACUAUAACAACUAUAGUCCUUAUAAUACAUUGUUGUCUAAGAUGACAAAAUACUAUGUUUCUUAGAUUUUUACUAGUGAAAAGGCAGUUUUGAAAGUGAAACUGAUGGAAGUGUUGCGAAUACAAGGCUAGGUUAGUAGCUCAGGGCUUUACACAUAAACAAGAGGUUAAUUAUGUUGGAAAAUAUUGGCGAUACGGGAUGCUACUUCUCUUACAAUGAAACACAUAAACGUAAUAUUAGUAUAUCACAAUUUUACCACCACAAUUUAAUAAAUAAAAUAAACCAAAUAAGAUAAAAUACUUAUAACUGCUCUUCUUUGAUACUUUGAUUAGAACAAGAUUUUAGGUUGAGGCGUGUAAUCACUGUUCUGAAGAGUAGAUUUCACCCCUCUAAGACAAUGUCUUGGUGUAGCAGGUUAUGACGCCCUACCCUCCAGGAUACAACAACUCAUGAUCCUUGUAAGCGUACACUCGCAAUACUUGGAUUUGGUAAACAACUCGAUUUUCCUUUUGUAUAUAAUACAUGAAGGAUUUUACUUUGAAGAAUGAAGAAUCAAUAAUGGAUAGAAGGGGAACUUAAGAAUUCUAGAAAAAACAAAGCAUGAGAAUAUUUAUUAGAAAACAAGAGUGUAAAACCGUUAGACUGUAAUUGCCCAAUUAAUGGGUUAAUCAAUAUGGCAUCUCACAAUGUAAACUCCUUCAUUUAACUCUCAAUUAUAAUAUGAAUGAAAUGAGUUGGCUAAUAACUAUAAACCAAAGCAAAUUACAGAGAAAUAGUGCAAGAAUAAGGAAGAAGAUGAACAUAGCUUUUAGAGAGAAGAAGAAGAUUGUAUUCAAUGAGAGUUUUUCAUUACAUUCAUUUGUACACUGUAGCUUUCUUUUAUAUCAGUUCUUACACCUAAUCUAUCUUACUUUGUGUAAUUCUAACUGCCUAACUCCUUAUUACAACAUUCUAACAACUUGUACUAACAACCUCAUUAAUCAUUAGACAAAUGGCAGUCAAUCUAACCAUUGGAUUAUAUCCUUAACAUCCUCCCUUAAGCUUAAGAGAAGAGAAUCCAAACCUGAGAUUGUUGCAGUAAGUCUGAAAUAAUGGAGCUAAGAGACCUUUUGUUAGUAUAUCAGCAUACUGAUCACUCGAAGACACAAAAUAGACGUGCAACAACUUUUUAACUACUUUCUCCUUUACAAAAUGGAUGUCUACUUCAAUAUGCUUUGUCCAUUGAUGUAAAACUGGAUUGCAUGACAGGGCUAUUGCAGACAUAUUGUCACAAAAUAACACAGGCUAAUAUGAAAUGGGAACAUGCAAAAAUGUCAGUAGCUGCUUGAUCUAAUCGAGUUUUGUUGCAGUAGUUGAAAAUGCCCGAUACUCAGUUUAUGUUGAAGACCUUGAAACAGCUUGUUGUUUCUUGGAAGACCACAAUAUUGGAUUGAAACCCAGAAACACUACAAAUCCUGUUGUUGGCCUUCUAUCAUUUGGGUCACCAGCCCAAUCACCAUCUGAGAAAGCCUUCACAUUCAAAUCUCCAUUUCCUUUGUGUAUUCCCAAAUUACUUGUACCUUUUAAGUACUUGAGGAUAUUUUUUACUACAGUGAAAUGGGAUUUCAUAGGGUUAUGCAUGAAUUGACAUACUUGGUGUACUGCAAAACUUAUGUCAGGUCUAGUGAAGAACCACACUUCUAUACAAAACUAGGUUAUUACAAGGUACACCAUCAUCUAAUAACAACCUGUUACAAGGAAGACAUGGAGUUGCACAAACUUUGGAAUCAGGCAUCUCAAUCUUGGUAAGUGAGUCUUUGACAUAUUUUGCUUGAGACAAAAAUAACCCAUCACGCUGUGAAAUUAUUUGAAUGCCUAAAAAAUAGUGAAGCUAUCCCAAAUAUUUGAUUUCAAACUCCUUUGUCAAUGCUGAGAUAACUUCAUUGAUUGCAGAUGAUGCACUACCUGUGAUGAUUAUAUCAUCCACAUAGAGAAGUAAAAUAACCACAGAGGAUCCCACUGGUUUUACAAAUAUUGAUGAAUCUGCAUAAGUUGUGUGAAAUCCCAGAGAAGGUAAAAAAACUUGUAAACUUUUCAUUUCAAGCCAUUGGGGCUUGUUUUAAGCCAUAGAGAGACUUAUGUAAUAUACAUACAUACUCAGGAUGAUGACAAUCAAUGAAACCUAAUGGUUAAGACAUAAUAAACUUCUUCUUGUAACACUACAUGAAGGAAUGUAUUCUUAACAUCCAAUUGCCUUAAAUUUAAUCCAGAGUAGCCAGCCAAAACUAACCUCACUGUAGUUGGUUUGACAAUUGGGUUGAAAGUUUCUCCAUAGUUUAUCCAUUCUUCUUGGCUGAAUCCCUUGGCAAUAAGCCUUACCUUAUAUAUCCUAGCACUGCCAUAAGCAUUCAUUUUGAUUUUGAAUACCCAUUUACAUCUCACAAGGUUUUUAUGGGAUGGUAAUGAUACUAGACUCCAUGUACAUUGAGAAUAUAAUGUAGAGAGUUCAUCUUUUAUAGCAUCAACCCAAAUUGGACUCUUCAAACUAGGCUUGUAUGUGGAUGGCUUAACAUGGUUCAAAUCUACCCCUCAAUUCUCAUGAAUAGUUGAUAACAGAGUCAUCUUCUUUGAUGUUCCACUCCUAGAUCUAGUUUGUAUUGGAUGCAAAUUCAAUACAAGUAUAGGUGUAGACAUCGAAAUUUCGGUGAAAUAAAUGUUGACCAAUAGUUACAAUUUCAACGCUCAUGUAUUACAUAAAUUUUACACGUAGCGUGUGGCUCGAUGAAAAAUUGAAAUGAGUCAGAAAAGUCAUCAAACAGGACACGUGUCAACACCUGGCAGAAACGACUUAUUUCAUCUAGAAUAUUAUAUUCAAAAUUAGGCCUUGAAAAAUUCUAUAAAUAGAAGCCAAUUUCAUUCAUUUUAAGGGGGACCAAUUUUCAUAUUACACCUUUAAGCUCUGAAGCUCUGAAACUCCGAAGCUCUGAAACUUCGAAGCUCUCAAGCAUCCAGGUUCCCAAAGAAUCAAGAAAGCCUUCUUCGUUCUUCGUUCAUCAUUCUUCAAGAUCAAGCCCCGACGGCCCUUGAAGAAAGCAUUCUUCGUUCAUCAUUCUUCCAAGAUCAAGCCCUGACGGCCCUUGGAUUAACAAUCAUCCACCUUCAAGAUCAAGCCCCGACGGCCCUUGAAGAAAGCGUGCUUCUUUCAUCGUUCUUCAAGAUCAAGCCCCGACGGCCCUUGAAGAAAGCGUUCUUCGUUCAUCGUUUUUCCAAGAUCAAGCCCCGACGGCCCUUGAAGAAAGCAUUCUUCGUUCAUCGUUCUUCCAAGAUCAAGCCCCGACGGCCCUUGGAUCAACAAUCAUCCAUCUUCAAGAUCAAGCCCAAAAGCCCCUUGAAGAUCCGUUCAUUACUGUUCUUCAAGAUCAAGCCCAAAAGCCCUUGAAGAUCCGUUCAUCAUCGUUAUUCAAGAUCAAGCCUCAACAGCCCUUAAAGAAACGCUCAUCCUCAAGAUCAAGCCCCAACGGCUCCUUGAAGAUCCGCUCAAAUCCACCUUCAAGAUCAAGCGCACAGCCCUUGAAGAACGUUCAUCCUUAGAUCAAGCCCAACGGCCAUUUGGAUCAAUCGAUCAAGCCCAACGGCCCUUUGGAUCAAUCGCACAUCCACAAAUACACACCUUACAGAGAUCGAAUCAGAGGAUCAAAUUUGAGAGAGAUUGUAACCCUAAAUCAUCAAAAUAGAAAUAUUAUUUUGUGCACGUUGUUCUUGUCUCUUUCGUUUCAGGAAAAUUUCGUGUUUACAAUAGGAAGAACAACCUAAAGACUCUCAAGUUGAAAUUCAAGAACCACAUGAACUGUUGUUGAGGAUGAAUGUUUUUGUGCAGUAAUGCAUUGUAUUAUAGGUUGAGGAUUUGGUAAAUCUGGUAAGGAUUGUGAAGAUUGAGAAGAAUGAAAUGAUAUUGCAAAGUCACUAGGUCAUGCGGAAGAAUGAGUAUACCAGAACAUUGUUGUGAUCAGGCAUUAUUAGUGUGGGAGAACCUAUAAGGACUGUGUUUAUGACAGUGGUAUUUGAAGUUAGGGAUACUAGAAUAAGAUAUGGAAAUUCAGUCUCAUCAAAUAUAACAUGCCUGGAAAUCAUAACUUUAUUUUUACCAACCUUAAAACAGAUGUAACCCAUGUACCUAGAUGCAUAUCGAAGAAAUACAUACUUGGUUGUCCUAGGUGACUAAUACCAGGUAUGGAACCAUAAAGUGCUUCAAAAUGGUGAUUUCUAGUUUAAUGUUUAGGAUGGCAUCCUAUUGAUAAGAUACACUGAUAUUUGGCAAGCAAAAGACCAAAAUAUAGAAGGUAAAUGGAAUGUUUGCAGAAAUGUAAUGGCUGUCUCAAUGAUAUGACGAUGUUUUCUUUCAGCGAAACCAUUUUGUUCUGGUGUAUGUGGACAAGACAACUGAUGACUUAUGCCUUUGUCAACAAGAAAUGAUUGAAACUUGAUACCUAUACAUUCACCCCCCAUCACUGUGCAAUAUUUUGACUGUAGUGGAAACUGAGUAAGAAUGAAUUGAUUAAAGACAACAAAUGUGGAGUAAACAUUUGAUUUAUUAAGAAUUGGAAAAAUCCAGCAAUAUCUUGUACACUCAUCUAUGAAGAUGACAUAGUAUUUAAAGCCUUUUAUAGAAACACAAGGAGAUGGGCUCCAUACAUCACUAUUUAUAACCUCAAAAGGAAUAACAGAUUUGGACAUAGCAGUUUGAAAUGGUUGUUUUGUAAAUUUGCCUUCUAAGCAUGUUGAACAGAUUAUUGGUUGAGUAUCAACAACAACAGAUAUAUUGGACUUCCUAAGUAUAAGAGAAGCAAUACUAUUUGAAGGGUGGCCUAAUCUGCUAUGCCAUAGUCUAGAGGUUACUUGAUGACCAAGAAAUGUUUCAGCCUUAUAUGCACUUUGUGGAUAGGGAUGACAAUUUAAACCGUUAAACCCAAUAACUGUGGAUAACCACCUGAAUGGAACGAAUUUGGGGAUAAAAAUUUGGUUAUAUUUUGGAUAUGGGGAAAAACCGAAAAUAUUAUUCGGUUAUGGUUUCAAAUGUGAUUAUAGGGGGUCUCCGAUUCGUAUUCAUCCCCAAAUUCGAACCGAAAAAUACAUAUUAUAUAAUUUAUAUAUAAUAAAUAUCGUAUUGUAUAAUAUAUUAUAUUCACCAAACCCAUUACUUUGAGAAUUACAAAAGUUACAUUUUGUAGGACACUAUAAAAGUUUUGAAUCAAACCAAUGAGAAUUGAAUAGUGCUUAUAGGAGAGAUCAAAGAGUAGCCAACAUCAUCAAUAUAUCUAUAUAUUAUAAUGACAAAAUUUGUAUCUACUAUAUUAUAAUGUGUCAAUUGAACGAAUAUAUUUUUGGUAUUGACGAACAUGGAUAAAACCGUUAACCGAUGGGGAAUUCAUUACCUGGCGGGUAUGAUUAUAGAUAAUCCCCAAUGGUUAAUUUGCGGUUAUGAAUAUGGUUACCUUGUAUGGUUAUGCGGAUGGAUAUAGCAUUUCUGUCCCUAAACUGAACCGUUGCCAUCCCUAUCUAUGGAUGAGAUGAUGAUGUAAGUAUUGGGAUAGGAUACAAUCCAUUAUUGCAAAGGCCUUUGAAGAGUAUUCCCUCUUUGGUUUUGUCCUGAAUCCAAAAACCAAAAGCAUUGAAAAUCAGCCAACAAUUGUUAUCAAGGCAUAUUUUGUGCACUGACAAGAAAUUCUGUGACAGUUUAGGCACAUAUAAAACUGAAUUUAACUUCAAUUUAUAAGAUGAAGUCUGUAAUAUUGAUGAUCCCACAUGAGAAACUUACAAACCUUCACCACUUGCAGUUAGAAUCAUUUCAUUAGAUAGAAAUGGUGUAGUCAAAGACAGAUCGUUGCACUAGAGCCAAUCAACCAUACUUGCUGUUAAUUUGAGUUGGAUAACAUUUGUGGGGCUGAAGUAUUAACAUGCAUAGUAGUCAAAGAUCUUAAAUUUGAGUUCAUAUUUGCAUUCUUAAAGUGGAAAUACUAAGCACCGUGGUUCUUUUUACCACAAAUUGACAACCCUUAAUCAUUUGUGAAUAAAUGUUCCUGAAUCUACAGGUAUCAAUAGGAUGACCAAAUUUUCCACAAAUUUGGCAUGGUGGUAAUGAAGAUCCAGAGUACACCUAUUGAUUUUGUAGAGAAAAACCAAGAAUCCCACGUGUAAGGCUAGAUUAAGAAGGUUUAUUGUUUCCAAACCUUGAAUUUGAGCCAUACUGAAAUUUACCCUUACCUUUAUUGGACUGAUAAUUGUUGAAACCACUAUUUUGAUUACCAUAUGAGCUAGGGGUGGGUUGAAAAAACCAAAAACAAAAAAAAAACCGGACUGAAAACCGAACCGAGACCAAAAAAAUCGAAUAAAAAAAAAAUCAAACCGAAUUUGUUGAACCAAACCGAACCGAAUCUAGUUGGUUCGGUUUCGGUUUCUGGGGUUCAAAAACCGAACCGAACUUCUUCAAAACGACGUCGUUUUACUCCUAAACUGCAACCCUUCCCCAAGUUCUAACCCUAACCCUCUUCUCUCGGUCUCUCGACUCUCUCAUGUUUUCCCACUCCCCCCAGUUCGCACUUCGCGCGCAGAAUAGCGGCCUUUUCUGUCUCUUUCCUAAAAACCUCUCUCUGCCUCUCAUUCCCCCUCGCAGUCGCAGCAGCCUCAUUUGUGCCUCUCGCAGCAGCAACCUUUCUAUCUCUCAUUCCCCCUCCCAGCAGCCUCAUUUGUCUCUCUCGCAAGUCACAGCAGCAGCCUCUCUCUCUGUCUCUCAUUCUCAGCUGCGAAUUCUCAUUCUCAAUCACAGCAGGUUAGUCUAAUAGUCUCACUCACACUCUCACGUUUAAUUUUCUGUUCUACUUAUACAGUUUUAGAGAUUUGAUUUGUAUUUUAGUGAAAAUAUUGAUUGAGUUGUAAUAAGAGAUUGGGUAUUUUUAUGCUUCAGAAAGUAAUUGAAUUGAAUUUGAGCUCAUGACCUCUAAACUUAGGUGGGCUAGGGUUAGAGAUUCAUCUUGCUCCCACGAUUGACUUUGAAUCUGGAUGAACAUAAGGAAAUUAAUUUAACUGUUUAACAAAUAAUUUAUGCCGACUUGUUUUCUUUGGGUUAGAUAAGAAGCAACAACUAAUUUGUUUCCAAUAGACCACCUAUCUGAUGUGUUUGAAUGUUUGCUCUCUGUGGUUGUUUGAAUGUUUGAUCUCUGUGGUUGCUUCUUAGAACCCUUGCAGGCUUUAAUUGUUUAGCACUUCAGCAGUUCAGCAUAUUUAUUUAUAAUGUUAUAGCAGCAGCAUGUUUUGAGCUUAAAUUUUUAAAUAUCAACUUGAAAAUGUUGUUGGUUGACUGACUGUUGAGGCAAAGAUUACUAUUACUUGAUCAUCAUCGUGACCACCAAUCAGGGGGUAGUAGAUUAUAUAUAUAUAUAUAUAUAUAUAUAUAUAUAUAUAUAUAUAUAUAUAUAUAUAAUGGCUGCAAGUUGUGGAGUUGUUGUACAAUCAGCCCUUUCUACUAUAAAAUCAUAUAUAUAUAAUGGCUAUAAAUUGUGGAGUUGUUGUACAAUCAGCCCUUUCUACUAUAAAAUCACUAUAAGUUUUGGUUGCAGGUUAUAUAUAUAUAUAUAUGUGAAGGGAGUUUGAUUCUUGCCUUUGUUGUUGUGGAGUAGUUGUAACUUGUAGGAUUAGGUUAUUAUAAAUAGGUGCGGUUAUAUAUAUUUAUUGGCCUUCCAUAUUUUGUCUUGAUUUUGUAUCAUUGGUCUUCCAUAUUCUCUGUGGUUGUUGUGGAGUAGUUGUUGUGGAGUUUGAUUCUAGCCGCAGGUUAUAUAUAUAUAUAUAUAUAUAUAUAUAUAUAUAUAUAUAUAUAUAUAUAUAUAUAUAUAUUUAUUGGCCUUCCAUAUUUUGUCUUGAUUUUGUAUCAUUGACCUUCCAUAUUUUAAUUAACAUUUACUUUUGUAUAAGUUUGUAGUACUAACUACUAUCUUCUUAUUAUUUUGUGUGAAUUAGAUAAAGUCAAAGGCGUCAAAGGUCUCAAGGGCCUCAAGCUCAAGUUCAAACUCAAUGAGAUCAAAAUCAACUAGCCCUCAUGAUCAAACAAACUCAUCUUCGAGUAUACCAUCGGAUGUAAGUAGUCAUACUCAUAUUUUUUUAGUUUCUAUUACUUUAUCCCUUAUGUUUAAUAAUUAAUUCAUUAAUUGUAAUGAUAAGAGUAACCAUCCCAUCUUAUUUGAAUAAUUAAUUGUAUGAUUCUCUUAUUUUAGAUGGACAUUGUUGGUGAAUCAACUCCACCUCAAAACACCGUGGUGGCACCUCGACAAACCCUUACUUCUCUUAGUGGAUCCAGAAAUCCCUCUGAUGCAACUCCAAAAGAAGGUGACGCAAGUGACCAAGUAAGUAAAGAAGAAGCUCUUUUAGAAUCAUUAAAAAGUCAUGAAAGGUCUUCAGUUUGGGAGCACUUUGAUAGAAAAAUUGAGGGUGAUAGAGUUAAGAGGUUGUGCAAGUAUUGCGCCUAAUCAUAUAUGGCCGACCCGGAUAAAAAUGGUACAACUAAUUUAAGAAACCAUCUAGCAAGAUGUAGAAGCUACGGUCCUAAUAAGGAAAUAUUUGCCGCAAAUAGGCAAAAGAUCUUAACUUUUGCCGGCACGAAAGAUAAGUUGGAAGCUAUAGGUUUUUCUCAAGAGGAAGUAACUAAGGCUUGUGUUGAGAUGAUCAUUAUAGAUGAGUUGCCUUUUACUUUUAUUGAGGGAGAAGGUUUUUGCCGUUUUUGCAUGCAAGCAUGUCCUAUGUGGAGAGUGUCUAGUCGUAAGACAAUUGCUAAGGAUGUACUUAGCUUGUUUUAUUCCGAAAAGGAUAAAUUGAAGAGUCAAUUGAAGACAUUUAGGGUGUGUCUAACAAUGGAUCGUGGACUUCUAUUCAACAAAUCAAUUACAUGGUUCUCACCGCCCAUUUUAUUGAUGAUGAUUGGAUGUCACAUAAAAAGAUUUUGAAUUUUUGUGUCAUUUCAAAUCAUAAAGGAAAGUCCAUUGCUCAACUUUUGGAGGAAUGUUUAGUGGAGUUGGGUAUAAAUAAGGUGUUAACCAUUACGGUUGACAUUGCUUCCGCAAAUGAUUCCGGUUUAAGGGACUUGGUGCACUGAAUAAGGGGGUGGGGGAUUCCUAAUGCACUCUUGCAUGAUGGAAAAUAUUUGCAUAUGAGGUGUGUUGCUCAUAUCCUCAAUUUGGUUGUGAAUGAUGUGGUAAAAUUGUUGAAUACAGCUAUACAAAGCAUUCGUAAUGCGGUUAGGUAUGUAAGAUAUUCCCCCCAAAGGUUGGAAAGCUUUAAAAGGUGUGUUGAGAAAGUGAGAAUAGAGAGCAAAGGGCUUGUGAUUUUGGAUGUCCCUACUAGGUGGAAUUCCAUAUUUUUAAUAUUGGAAUCGGCUUUAAAAUUCAAGAUGGUUUUUGAUAGAUUAAAAGUAGAUGAUGGUUAUUACCUUCCGUACUUUGUUAAAGACAAUCAUGAUAAUAUGAGGGAGGGGCCACCUUCGAUUGAUGAUUGGAGUGAGGCGGGGAUAUUUGCAAUCUUUUUUAGACCUUUUUAUGAAGUCACUUUAAAAGUAUGUUGCUCUAAUACUUCAACCGUUCAUCCUACUUUUGGUGAUUUGUUUAAGAUCAAAAGUCUCUUUCAUGAAAAUAAAGAUGAUGAACUUUUGUCUAUGAUCUCUAAGUUGAUGCAAGAAAAAUAUGACAAGUAUUGGGGUUCCCUUGAGGACAUGAAUUGAUAUCUUUUUAUUGCACUUGUGCUUGAUCCUCACCACAAAUUAGAGAAAGUUGUUGAUUAUUUUAAGAUACAAUUUGGUGAGGAUGAAGAAAAAGUUGAAAGUGUCACAAAUGGGGUGAAAGACUUGUUGAUUGAUCUUUACAAGAUUCAUGAAGAUAUGUCUUUGAGUACACAACAAAGUAUAAGUGGUGGUGGAAGUUCUCAAACGACAAGUGGAGACUCUUCAUCAAACAUAACCGAAAUAGAAAGAAAGUUGAACGAAAAAAGUGAAAUGAGAAAAGCAAAGAGAGCCCGAGUUGUGUAUAAUGAUGUCGACAAGUAUCUUUCCGAUCCUAAUGAAGGAGAAGAAGAGGAGAACUUUGAUAUAUUGAAUUGGUGGAGGGUGAAUGGGAUUUCUAAGUUACCCUAUUUUGGCAUAUGUUGCAAGAGAGAUCUUAGCUAUUCCUGUAUCAACCAUUGCUUCGGAAUCCUCCUUUAGUACAAGUGGACGGAUAAUUGAUCCAUAUCGUAGUUCUUUAAGUCCAAAAAUGGUGGAGGCUUUGAUAUGUACUCAAAAUUGGCUUAGGUCCAUUCAUGUUGCAUUACAUCAUGAGCCAACCAUUGAGGAGAUGGAGUUUUGUGAAUAAGUGUAGAAAGGUAAUUUUAUUUAUUGCAUUUGAUUUUGUUAGAUUAUUUUAAACAACAUUUUAAUUAGUAUCCUUUCUUUUAUUAUUUGUAUGUAGAAAUGGCAAGUGGAGGUUGUGCUAUGUUGCCCCCUAGGCCACCCAAGCGUUAGCAAGCAAAUUGUCAUUGAAAAAGUAGGUGGAUCGCACAUUGAAAGUAUGUAAGUCUUAUAUCAUUCCAAAAUCACUCUCAUGCCAUUCCUAUACUUGGACAAUUUGAUUUCUAUGCAUUUGUACUUCAUCAAGAAUACCGUAAAAUUUUCAUCUUUAUUCGAAUUUGAUCUCUAUGAUUUUUAUGCAAUACGUUUUUAAACAAAUUUCCUCUUAUAGAUGUGUUAAUGUUGACCCAUGUGAAUGUAUUGAAUGUACUGAAACAAUAUAAAGGGAGCAUCUUUCUCACUGUUACUAUUAUAUGCCGUUUUCUUUUUCUAGGUCUCUAGCUUCACAUGGUGAUAAGGUGAUAGGUGGUUUACAUUAAGGCAUAAGAAGAGUUUCGAGGGAUAAGACUACGAAGACAAAUGUGGGCACACCUUCCAAAAUCACUUCAGCACAUAAAGAAUGAUAUUUUAGGUGUGGAAGACUUGAACUUUGGAAUGUUUAUUUUAGAUGUGGAAGACUUGAACUUUGAUGUUUAUUUUAAGUUUAGACUUUUGGAAGAUUUGAACUUUGAUGUUUAUUUAACUUUGGACUUUGAAAGACUUGAUUAUAAUUGAACUUUGAAUUGAAUGUUUAUUUUCAUUGUCUUUGACGAUUCUAUUAGAAAUUUGGAAUGUUUAUUUUGAUGAUUAUGUUGAAAUGGGACUUAUUACAAAAUGGCUACAAGUUGUUUUCUACUUUUCAUAGAAAUUUUUUUAGCUACUUGGAAACCCAAAAAAAAAAAAAACAAUAAAAAAAAAAACCGAACCAAGCCGAAACUGAACCGAGAAAAACCAAACCGAAUACAAACUGAACCAAACACAAACCGAUUGAAAACUGAACCAAAUUGACUCGAACAGUAAUUUCGGUUCGGUUUCCAAUUUUGGCAAAAAAUCGAACCUAACGAACUGAACCCACCCCUAAUAUGAGCCCCCUGAAGAAUUUGCAUUGGAAGAAUUGCCAUAUGCAUUUCCAUUGGAUGAAUUAUCAUUGGACUGAGAACUACCACGUCUAGUAAUCAUAGUAGAGAGAAAUGGAGUUGUAGAGUUAUUACUGUCAAUCAUAGCUUCUUCAACAAGCAAUUAAGACCUCAAAUCUUUGAUAGAAAUCACAUGUUCCUUUCCCCUAAUUAUGGAUCUAAUAGUAUUAUACUUGGAUGGCAAACCAUUUAGAGUAAGAAUUACUAUAUCAUCAUCAUCAAAUAAAACACCAGUUGCAGAAAGAUAGUCUCUAACUUCUUUAAUCCUUUGAAGAUACAAAGAAAUAGAAUCAUUAUCAUUUUUGAUAGUUUGCAAUUCUGACUUAAGUUGAAAGAUGCUGAUGCGUGUGAUAGUAGAAAAUUGUUCUUUAAGCAUUGCCCAUAAAUCUUGAGCACUAACAUUACCAAUGGCACAAGACAAUGUAGAUGGUGAAAUGGUAGCAGUAAUCAACUGUAUCAAUGCUCUAUCAUGCAUUUUCACACUUUAUACUCAUCAGUUUCAGGUUGUGGAGUUAAACCUCCAAAGAUAACAUUUGAACCACUUGAUGCAACAAGAGACAAUUUUGGUGGACACAAUGUUGAACCAUCCACAAACCCUAAAAUCUCAUGAUCUUCAAGUAGAAGGUGUAGCUGAAAAUGCCAAGUCACGUAGUUCGAAUCAUCAAGUUUGACCGUCACUGAUUUUGAUACAAUGGAUAUUAGGGACAUGAUCGGAGAUUGAAGAAUCUGCAACUGAGAAGUAGUAACCAUUGUUGUAGAAAAUCAAGAACCUGUGAAGAGAAUUUAAGAAACUUUGUAGAGAAAAUCCUGAGCCAGGACUUGUAUCGAAUGCUUGGUGUGCAGAGAAAAAUCUUCAAGAAAGUGAAUGUAGGAGAAGAGAGAGAAGUCUCCAAGAUCCACAAUGAACAAGAAAGAGAUAGAGAGAUCAGAAAUGUCGAGUGAAACAACAAGAUCGAACAAUAUCACCGAGCGAUUAGCUUUCUUCGACGAUGGUACCAUAUAAACCAAAGCACAUUAUAGAGAACUAGUGCAAGAAUAAGGAAGAAGAAGAACAAAGCGUUUAGAGAGAAAAUGAAGAUUGUAUUCAAUGAGAGUUUUUCAUUACAUUCAUUCGUACACUGUAACUUUCUUUUAUAUUAGUUCUUACAACUAAUCUUACUUACUUUGUAUAUUUCUAACUGCCUAACUCUUUAUUACAUCAGUCUAACAACUUGUACUAACAACCUCACUACUCAUUAGACAAAUGGUAGUUAAUCUAAUCAUUACAUUAUAUCCUAACAGUAACAAAUGACGCUAUAAGUGAUAAAACGGCCAUGCAAUAAUAUCAAAUCAAAAAACAAUAAUAUGGCAUAGUGAAUGGGACGAAAAAAAAGGAUGCAAUGAAUUUGUAUUUUGAAAUACUCAACAAAAUUCCAAUAGAUUAUUCAGAAACUUUCAGUUCUGUUGUUAGACAUUUAAUUGCUAGACUCAUUUGGCUUUGGCUACUAGUCACAAAUGAAGUCUCAGACAACUAGAUGUUAUAAAUGAUUUUCUUUAUGGAGAUUUACAAGAAGAGGUUUAUAUGCAUCAACCUCAACAUUUUGUCUAUCCAAAAUAUAUAUCCAUCUCAUGUGCAAAUUAGUUAAGUCCUUGUAUGGACUUAAACAAGCUCCUAGAGCUUGGCAUUCCAAAUUCACAGGAGUAUUACCUGCUUUGGGUUUUGUUGCUUUUCCAUCUGAUACUAGUCUCUUUGUGAAACAUGAUGGAACAAAUAUGAUCAUUUUAUUGCUUUAUGUUUAUGAUAUUAUCUUAAUAGGUUCUGAUGUUUCUCAAGUUCAAUUAGUAAUUUACAUUAUUGGUGAAUUGUUUGAUUUAAAAGAUAUGGCAAGGUGACAUACUUUCUUGGUCUUCAAAUUCAGUACAAAGAUAAUGGUGAUCUGCUUGUGUAUAAAAAAAAAAGUGUGAAACAUAGAUGUUAGCUUGCACCAACUCCAUCCAAAUCACAUACUCCUAUCUUUGAUCCAACUUUAUUCAUAUUUUUCAGGUUAAAAGAAUUAUGAGGUAUCUAUAGGGUACAUUGGAUUGUAGAUUGACUUAUAAAUCUUCAUCUACAAUUUUAGCACACUUAGAUUCUGAUUGGGUUAGCUGACAUUAAUACAAGGAGGUAUGUUACAAUUUAUGUAGUCUUUGUGGGAUGUAACCCAAUUUCUUGGCAAUCCAGAAAAAAAGUCUUCAGUGUCUAGGAGUUCUACUGAAGCGGAGUAUAAGUCAUUAGCUCAUUGUGUUGUUGAUGCUUGUUGGAUUAGAUCCAUAUUUAAGGACUUACAUGUGGUCAUUCCUUUUCCUAUCUUACAUUGUGAUAAUCGUUCUACAGUUGCUCGUAGUCCAAAUUCAAUUUUCACUCUCGGAUAAAACAUCUUGACACAAAUUAUCAAUUUGUUAGGGAAAAGGUUCAAAAAUUAGAUCUUCUGGUUCACUACAUUUCUACCAAAGAGCAAGUUGUAGACAUCCUAACUAAAGGUCUUCAUAAUCCAGUGUUUGUUGAUCAUCGCUACAAUCUUAACCAUAGAAACCCAGGUUAAGAUUGAAAGGGAGUAACACUACCAAAUAAAAUUAAAAAAAAAGAAAAACCCAUUGCAGACGAAAUAACUUUUUGUCGCUUACAACUUUGCUCGACAACAUUCUGUCGGGUAAGGUCGUCGUGCAAAACCUUUUACUCAAAUGUUUACCCGACGGAUACUAAACAUUUGUUGGGCAUAUAGAGUUGGCCCCAUGAAAUAAAGUUAUCAAGUAAAGGUGUUUGGCUUGACGUCACUAUCUUCGUCCAACAAAAUUUCGUCGAACAAAUAGUAAUUUCUGGUGGUGUAAUAACAGAAUGCCAUAUUUUCACUUGUGUAUUGGUCCUGAUGUCACUUGUGUGUUAGUUGCUUAAUAACUAAGUUGUGUAGUAACUUAGUAGUCAAGUAAAUGUAAGAAGGCUAUAAAUAGCAACUCUGUAUUCUUUUUACAGGAUAAUGAAAAGUCGGUUCUGUUACUUCUUCAAAUCCAUAACUCUUCUUCUUCUCAAAACCUUAAGGAGACCAAAUUUUUUAAACCAAAUUUGUAUGCAAAAUGAUGUGAUUGUAGAUGAUUGGAUUAUUAAUAAGUGUCAAUUAAUGUACGUGUUUCUUAAUGGUAACACAUCAUGUGAUUUGCAAAUUUGGUUUAAAAAUUUGGUCUCCCUAGUAUUAUCCAUUACUCAAAUGUUCAAAUAAAUCCUAAAUAAGUGCGGAUUUUCUUGAUGACUACGCGCAUGGUCCAACAAGAGAGACAUGUAGCUCACCUUUGCUUUUAGUAACAUGUUUAGAACUUUAUCCAUUUACCUAUCAAGCUUUACUUACAUAUUAGUUCUUCAAUCUCCAAAAAUGGGUAUCUAUUAGUCCCCAAAUUUAAGUUAAUUAACCAUUACCUUAAUCUAAAGUCCGCACUUUCAAAAUGGGCCUUUUAUAAUAGUUUAGGACUGUUUUAAAAAGAACUAGCUAGUCAUGAGCGUUUUUGUUAUAUAUCAUUCUACUGUAAAUAUGUUGAUGUAUUUAUAGAAAAUAAGUGCUACGAUAGCACAAAACACUAAAUUUGUUCUCGAGUUAGAAACAAACUUUUGGUUAUCUUAAAGCAGUCUAAGCAUUUCCAGAGCAAGUCCCAACACAUGUCUUUAGCUUUAGGUGAGUUACCUGUAAAAAAUUAUUACUUUAGUCUAAAGAAGGUUUUUCAAUUGCACUGUACAAAUGAAUAGUCUUUAGAGCUGAAUUCCACUUUAUUUAUGAGGCCGCCACUAACUCUCUCUGCCACUAAUCUUCAUGUUGUGUGUUGAUGAUCGUGGAAAGGCAGGGGUGCGAUGGUCAUUUUAGUCUGUAGGGUUUCGAACGGGUUGGGUGGGUUAAAGACUUUCAUUUCCUUUCUUUCUGAGCUGCAAUGGGACUCGAUGAGACCAUGUCGUCGGGAGAGAGAGACUGACCGAGCAGAGAGAGAAGAAAGACACGGAGGGAGAGAGAUAGGGAUUUCGUGAGAGGAAGGCAUGCGGCUUGCAGGCAGACAAAGUCACAGGGGGUGUACGAUUCGAGGGAGAGGGAGACAGCGCAAAAGAGAGAGUGGGAGAGGGAGUAAGGAUCGCUUGCUGAGGGUUUCAUAGUUAGGAGGCCAUGCUGAUGGAGAUAGAGAUAGAGAUAGGAGAGGGAGAAGGAGAGAGGGAGAUAGAGACAAAGCGACAUUGAGAUAAGGAAAGGGAAGAGUGGGGAUUUCAGUGCCAUUGCUGUAGAUCAUUGAUCUUCUUUGAUCCCAUCUCCGUGUUCUUCUCAGCCUCUCAUAGUCGCAGCAUCACUCACCCACUGACUCACUCAUUCACUAUAGGUACACCUCUUAAACCCCCAUUUGUAUUUUAUCUUUCCUGAUUGAUGAUUUAAUUUGGGUUUUAUUGACACACCCCCAGACAGAGAUGCGGUGUUCUGACAGAAUUCACAAAAGUAUGACUCACCCUCGGGUGUUACAUCUUAGUAAUUGUAUCUUUAAAGCUUCCAAACUAUGUAAAUGGUUAUGUCACUCUCACGUGACGGCCAGCAUGCCCUCCUUCAGGAUGGGGUGUGUCAUUUAUUAAUAGUUUAAUUUGGAGUUUAAUUGAAGUUUUAAUUCAGGUUUGUAGUUGGAGUUUAAUUAAGGAUUUUACUUAGGUUUUGAAUUAGGUGGGUUUUUGGUAUUUCAUCUCCCCAAGUUUUUCACUUUCAUUGUGGAUUGUUGUUUUUGAAUUUAAUUAGCUUUGGGUUUUUCAUUUUUCUCAAAUUCCCAGUUGAUUUGGCUUCCAAAUAAAAACUAACAAAUCACCUAAAAAAAGAGCUCCCAUUUGUAAUUUGAGGAGAUUUGUUGGGUUUUGUAUGGUUGCCCUAGACAACGGAUAAUAAGGGUUCUGUUUGAAUGUCUGCUUGCUCUGCCGUUGUUUCUUAAAUGAUUUUUGGGCUGCUGCUUCCCUUAUGUUUCCAUUUAGUUCUUUACAAUCUUAGACUCUUUAAUUGCAUUGGUAUGUGAUAUGCUGCUUUUUCCCCCUUUAUGCAUUGUUUAGCUGAAUGAUGAGUACUCUGAUGUGAAAAGAGAUGACCUCUUGAAGGCACUAUGGUAUGAUUUGUUUAUUUUUAUUCUUCCUUAUUGCAAAACACUUUCAUUUUUACUGGUUCAGCCCAUUUGUUGCCUAAAUUGUUCAAUGCUAUAAUUCUCUGGGAUUCUGAACUUUGUUAUGUUCAUUUUACAAGGGGGUACAACUUCUAUGAUGAUUUUUCUGAUUUUUGUUCCUGACAUUGUUGCUGACACAAAAAUUUCUGAUUAAAUUAAUAUUGGCCAAUGACUAUGUUCAUAUUAAUAUACAAUGUUCUUUAUGGCUUGACUUGGACUAGGACUCUGACUCUCUGAGUGCACAUGAGAAUGCUUUUUCUCUAAUACUUUUACAAUAAUUAUAGGAAGUUGUAACUGGAACAGGAUAGAAUUGUAAAGCAGUUCUAAAUACCUCUUUUUUUAUUUAUUAGUGUGUGUGUGUGUGUGUGUGUGUAAAGGCUUGCCUUACAAAUUAAGGCACCUAAAGAGAAGGAAAAUUGUACUUGGGCAUAUGAGAAACUUAUCUUUUAUUGCUCUAUGUUUGCUUUGCCAAAGCAACAUUUAAAAUGGCAAACUCAACGUUGUCUGUGUAUAUAAAUAUAUGUGUGUGUGAAUAUACGUGUGUGUAAAUAGAUUUAUACAUAAAGGGAAGAUGGAUGGAUAGGUGUAUGCUUAGUUUGUAAGAGAAGAAGAGAAAAUGAAAACCACACCAAACAACUCGCAUUUAAAGCUCAUUUUCUUCUUCUCUUUUGACAUAAAUCUCUUUUUGUUAGAUUGCUAGAGGGUUGCAAUGUGUGAGGGCCAUGUAUGUUUUAUUACAAUCGUAUCUAUAGAUUUGGGAACUGGAGAAAAGAAAUGGAACAAACCAUUUGCAUGGCAGAGGCUGUAUAUCAUAUGUACCAAUUGGAUCUGAUCAAUGUGUUGCCAAACAAAUUGGUGGGUUGAGAAUUGGGAACCUUUAAAGGAAAUGCCUCAUGAGACUUUUGAUUUUAAUAUUCAUUAUUUAGCUGUUGAAAGUUUGCAACUUUUUGUUGGGGUCUCAAAAAAGUUAGGACUGGUUCCCUUUUGUCAUUUUUUUGUACGGUGAGAAGUGAGAACCUUUAGUUAAUGGGGUUUGUUUUUUAUUCAGAUUAAUUUGGUUCAUUUGCUGCUAGGACGGUUGCAAUUUCAAGUAAUUUUCUUUUUUGUGUAUAUUAUGUUAGUCAUUUAUGAAUAAAAUGCUAAAUGACUUACAUAUUUGAUUCGAAUUUUGCAUGUUUGUGAUUUUUAGGAUUGCACUCUGACUGUGCAGCAUCUUCAAAUAUACCAUGUGGCUGGACUAAUUGUUUGCAAGUUUGUCAAAUGUAUGAGGAAGAAGGACUUUUACAUGAAGUGUUGCACAUAGGUAUUAUUUAAUAUUAUACAACAAUAUAAUUUGAGAGUUCUAAUUUUUCCAUUUUACUACCUGCAUUGGAAAAGUUAUUGAUAGAAGUUUCUGAUUGUUUACUAUAAAAGGAUCAAAGGACAGGACAACAAAUAUAAGAUUGUAUGGCUUCUGCAAUCGUAAACUAAAGAGGUAUUAUAAUCUAUUUCUCUCACCAACUUUGAUCCACAACUGCAAAUUGUAUAAAUACAAUAACAAAACAGGUUUAGUGUGUGAUAGUUUGGCAAAUGUUUAAUAUGUGACCAAUAUAUAUAUCAUCUGUUCCUUUGUUUCUUACCGUUAUAAAUGAUCCCAUAUGUAACAAAUUUACAAAUUAACUACUUACACUAAUACUAUAAUGAAUCUUUAAUGGACGCUUCACAAUUUUGUUGAUAAGAUUUGUACUUUUGUUAAACAGAAAAGUCGUUCUACUAAUACCAUUCACCAAAGUGCAAAAUGAUCAGCAAACAAUUUUGUGAUUCUUUUAAAGCCCCUCGGUAAGAUUUCAAACUUUACUUCCAAUUGUAUCUUCACUCUGUUUCUAUGCUUUCAAAAAGUUUCAGUUUUUUGUAUUCCUCCAGCCCACCAAACACAGUUUUCAUUUGGAAAAAGAAUUUACCUUUGAGUAGGAGUUGUAGUCUUGGUUACUAUUGUUUUAGUUCAUGCUACUAAUCAUGCAUUCGGUAGAUUUAUAUAUACAACAAUGUUUAAAUGCUAAUCGAUUACUAACAUAAUGUGGUCUUCACAAGAAAAACAGUGGAUUCUCAAGAGGGGCUUCAAUUUACAGAAGAAUUACAAGGUCUUAUAAGCUCUUCAUAAUUUUAUAUAAUAAUUUAGAUAAAAUAUCGAUGAGAAAUAAUAUAUAUACCAAAUAAAAAUCACUAAAAUCUCUUUGUUUUGUUUCUUCUGUGUGUAGCAGACGUUAUCAACAUGGAAGAUGGCUAGCCAUGAUUAGAAAGGUUACUGGAAAUAAGGAUCUCUAUCUUGGGCAUUCAGUAAGUGAUUUUUCAAACUUUAUUUGUGUUUUUUCGUGUCUAAAAAAUUUCCUAAUAUUUUUAAUAUAAUCAGUGAAACCACGAUUUCAUGUACUAGCUAGCUACUAGGAUGCUUGGUUUUUGUAUGAUUCCGAUUAUUUGAGGUAUCUGGGUAAAGUUUUGUUUAAAGUAGGAAAAUGAAUUUAAACUCAAGCUUCUUUACAAGCUUGAGAAGAGAUUUUAGUCUUCUAAUGAUUAAUAUUGAAGAUAAAAUUAGGGUAAUACAUGUACUACACAUAUUGCUAACUAUGCUAGACCAAAAGUAUCAUCAUCGCUGCUUAAACAUACCAAUCAGUUUAUAUUUUGUGAACACAUAUGACGACUGAGGGGUUUAACCUUCAAUUGCAAUCUCAUUUGUAAAGCUUUUACUAUCGCAACUGAUACACACGUGUAAAGCUUUUACUAUCGCAACUGAUACACACGUGUAAAGCUAACUGAUACACACGUGUAAAGCUUUUACUAUCUCAAAUGUAAUUAUGUAAUAAAAGAAGAGGCAAAUAUGUAAUAAGUGAGGAGCCCUUAUUCUAUAAAAGGACUCCUCACUCUCCUCAUUGAAGGAGGCCAAUUCUUAGGCCUGACUUUCACCCUCUCAGAGCCUCACAUCCCCUCUCAUAUUCAGAGAAGCUCAUCCUCACAUAAGGAAGCUCUCUCUCCCUCUCCCUCUCUCACAGAGAAAUACAAUAAUCAAUGUGAACGUAGCCCAAACAUUGGGGUGAACCACGAUACAUCUUGUGUUAUUUACUUUCUUGCAGUUUCGCAGUCGAAUUUACGUUAUUCCAAGACCCAUCCGGUUUUGUGCAUCAACAUUUGGCGCCGUCUGUAGGAAACGACAUAAAAAACUAUGUCAGUUCUCUUUCAUUUUUUUCAUCUCCACCGUGAAUCUACAAAACCCACAUAGAGACACACCCAUUCGAUUUCCAGAAAGAGAUAUGGGUGUGAGAAU